GAUGAACGCUAGCGGCAGGCCUAAUACAUGCAAGUCGGACGGGAUUGGAGAGCUUGCUUUCCAUGAGAGUGGCGCACGGGUGCGUAACACGUAUGUAACCUACCUUGUUCAGGGGGAUAGCCUCUCGAAAGAGAGAUUAAGACCGCAUAACGUUAUUGAAUGGCAUCGUUUAAUAACCAAAUAUUUAUAGGAACAAGAUGGGCAUGCGGAACAUUAGCUAGUUGGUAAGGUAACGGCUUACCAAGGCUACGAUGUUUAGGGGAUCUGAGA
rnacentral:rRNA from 1 species